rnacentral:rRNA from 1 species
AUUGAACGCUGGCGGCAUGCUUUACACAUGCAAGUCGAACGGUAACAGCACUUCGGUGGCUGACGAGUGGCGAACGGGUGAGUAAUACAUCGGAACGUGCCUAGUAGUGGGGGAUAACUACUCGAAAGAGUAGCUAAUACCGCAUGAGAUCUAAGGAUGAAAGCAGGGGACCUUCGGGCCUUGCGCUACUAGAGCGGCUGAUGGCAGAUUAGGUAGUUGGUGGGAUAAAAGCUUACCAAGCCGACGAUCUGUGGCUGGUCUGAGAGGACGACCAGCCACACUGGGACUGAGACACGGCCCAGACUCCUACGGGAGGCAGCAGUGGGGAAUUUUGGACAAUGGGCGCAAGCCUGAUCCAGCAAUGCCGCGUGCAGGAUGAAGGCCUUCGGGUUGUAAACUGCUUUUGUACGGAACGAAAAGCCCUCUUCUAAUACAGGAGGGUCAUGACGGUACCGUAAGAAUAAGCACCGGCUAACUACGUG